rnacentral:rRNA from 1 species
GAUGAACGCUGGCGGCGUGCCUAAUACAUGCAAGUCGAGCGAACAGACGAGGAGCUUGCUCCUCUGACGUUAGCGGCGGACGGGUGAGUAACACGUGGAUAACCUACCUAUAAGACUGGGAUAACCUCGGGAAACCGGAGCUAACACCGGAUAAUAUAUUGAACCGCAUGGUUCAAUAGUGAAAGACGGUUUUGCUGUCACUUAUCGAUGGAUCCGCGCCGCUUUAGCUAGUUGGUAAGGUAACGGCGUACCAAGGCGAGGAUGCGUAGCCGACCUGAGAGAGUGAUCGCCCACACUGGAGGUGGGACACGGACAAGGCGCCUGCGGGAGGGAGCAGAAGCGAAUGGUCCGCAAUGGGGGGAAACCUGACGGAGCAACGCGACGUGAGUGAUGAGAGUCUUCGGAUCGUAAAACUCUGUUAUGAGUGAAAAACAAAUGUGUAAGUAGCUGUGCACUUAUUGACGGUACCUGGUCAGAAAGCCACGGCUAACUACGUG